GUGGCAGACGGAGAUGCACAUGUCUAGUCAGCCGGCAUUUUUCGAGUCGUGUUGUAAAUGUUGUUAAUUCGCCGUAAAUAUCUCUUGAUUUGUACUCAAGGGUGGAGCAAGACCCCAAGGAAGAGAGAUUGACUCAUCGGGAGCGAAGAACAGAAACGAUGGAUGGUUACGCUGCUUGGGUCUCGGCACGUUCAAAUUGGCAAAGUUCCGAAUUUGUUGCUGUGUUGUGUCCGCUUGUGCGCUCGUUAUUUGCCGUCAUCGCUCGGAGAUAUUUGCGCUGGAUGUCUUUCACUUCGUGUACAAAACUCUGCUCGCUGCGGCAUCGAAGAAGUUGUCCUGUGUUUGGGUGCACGUAUGCGCUUGGACACGGAUAGCCUGCUUGCUCUCAACGGGUGUUCAACAGUCUACGCGCGCUGGUAACUUGCUCAUGAGGCAAGUUGCUGUUGUGCUGGAGCUGAGAAGAGGUCUGCUGCCUGCAAUGGGUCCAUCUCUCUCAAGUUAUUGCAGUAUUAUAGCUCUCAAGGUUCAAAAAAAGUAUGGUGGAAGCUGUUGCCAAGGUUCCGACCAGAAAAGACAGCCAGUAUAAAAGGGUCCACGCCACUGAUCUCUACUACAGGGGAUGAACAGCACAUCGAGCGCCCUCGACUGAAGCCGGCCUUGUCCCGGAAGUUGGUGCUUGACAACUUUGCGGCAGCACUUUGUUGCACGGCCUGUGGAGACAAGGUUUCUUAGACAUGGCCGUGGCCCUCAAGGAAGAUGCCGAGGCCACAGGCAGUUCCUCCAGUGACCGUGAAAAGGUCCCCUGGGGCACAAGUCUGGUUUGGCACCCCCACCUUUCUCCUGCAGCUUUUCUGUCUACUUAGCUAACCAGCAGCAAGUUUAUCCUUGCAAGUGUUUGGAGUCAAGAACAACUUUCACCAGGAAGAAGUGCAAGACGAGUGAUUGAAGAAAAUAAAGUUGCUUCUGUGAUCUAAGAACUUGAGGACUGAAAUGUU